AGAAUCAACGCUGGCGGCGUGCCUAACACAUGCAAGUCGCACGAGAAAGGGACUUCGGUCCUGAGUAAAGUGGCGCACGGGUGAGUAACACGUGAAUCAUCUACCUCCGAAUGGGGAAUAACUGAGAGAAAUCUUAGCUAAUACCGCAUAAUACCUACGGGUCAAAGCAGCAAUGCGUUUGGAGAGGAGUUCGCGGUCGAUUAGUUAGUUGGCGGGGUAAUGGCCCACAAGACGAUGAUCGAUA
rnacentral:rRNA from 1 species